UUGAGGAGGAGACCGAAGAACUCAAUUCUCACGUUAUUGUUAGAAGAAAUUCCAAGAGAAGCCUAAAGAGGAGAGGAGGAGAAGGAGGUGGAGAUGAGCAGCUGUGUAUCCACCAACAGCCUGGAGGUGGGAGGUAAAGGAUUGACUCAGAAAAGCAGUCAAGAUUUAAUUAAAGACCCAGGCGUGGAGACGCUCAUGUGAGGGGAACAAAGAAGACUCACCUGUAACUGCUUGGUAUUUGUUGGGAGAGGAUGAAGGGAAGAGAUUUAUAUGAAUGUUAAGAAUAUGUAGCAAUGUGGGAGGGAGCCCAUAGGGGAAAUUGUAAGAUAAGUACAUUAAAUAUGAUUGGUUGAGAGUGUAAAGCAACAUUGGGAGAGGCUCUUGAUAGGAAUAAUUACACUAACGCAGCUGAUAGCUACAGCCCUUUGUCUCCUAGAAGUAGGAUGGCUAUUGUGGCUAGGUAGAACAGUGUUAUGAGUUAGCUAAUCAAAGAGUGUUAAAAAUCCAUGCAAACUGCAUCUUGGGCUCACCCCUACUCUAUGAGGGUGAGAGACAGGAAUGAGAAAUAAGUAUUGCUUUAUGACGCUGGCCCCGGAACUCUCAGGAAGUAGUAUAAAUCCUUCAGUAGCAGUCCUGCCGAAGGACUAAACCAGACAGGACGAUAGGUUUCAUACUGGGUACUAACUCUUGUUAAAUACCCAGAUUAUGACAUUCAGAACAGGGUCUGUCCUACAGGAACCGUGUACUAAUCAACAGAGAAGAUCUCCUGGAGGAAGACCAUUUACUUAAGUCUCUUAAGUCAUGGAGCCAUCCACCCCUUUCUCCUUAAGGGCAUAUCUCUUACUUCCUUUUGGCCAAGGGAGAAGAGGAAAGAAAAAGAAAAAGAAGAGUGAAUGAUAGCUUCAAGACUAAAAUGACCACGAAAAAAGAAGAUGCUGGCUAUGCAGCAUGGAAGAAAGCCAUUGGAUGAUGUGUUUCCUCCAUUCACCUAUCCCACUUUUUCUUUCCAUUUUCACCUCAAUUGGAAGAUUGGAGAGGCUGAGCAGUAAAUUCUGAGUCCCAGCACCAGUAAAUUUGCUGCAUUCAUUGAUGUGAUCAUCUAAAACAGGAACUGGCAAACUCUUCCAACUGCUGUUGUAGUGUGUAAGCAGCCAUAGACAAUACAUAAAUGAACAUGGCUGUGUUCCAAUAAAAUGUUUUCU